AUUGAACGCUGGCGGCAUGCUUUACACAUGCAAGUCGAACGGCAGCGCGGGCUUCGGCCUGGCGGCGAGUGGCGAACGGGUGAGUAAUACAUCGGAACGUGCCCAGUAGUGGGGGAUAGCUCGGCGAAAGCCGGAUUAAUACCGCAUACGACCUGAGGGUGAAAGCGGGGGAUCUUCGGACCUCGCGCUAUUGGAGCGGCCGAUGGCAGAUUAGCUAGUUGGUGGGGUAAAGGCCUACCAAGGCGACGAUCUGUAGCUGGUCUGAGAGGACGACCAGCCACACUGGGACUGAGACACGGCCCAGACUCCUACGGGAGGCAGCAGUGGGGAAUUUUGGACAAAGGGCGAAAGCCUGAUCCAACAAUGCCGCGUGUGUGAUGAAGGCCUUCGGGUUGUAAAGCACUUUUGGCGGGAACGAAAAGGACUGUGCCAAUACCACGGUUCGAUGACGGUACCCGCAGAAUAAGCACCGGCUAAGUACGUG
rnacentral:rRNA from 1 species